rnacentral:lncRNA from 1 species
AUGGGAACCCUUUUGCUGUGGCGAGGCAGCAGCGAGCUCCCCAUGCUCCUUGCUAGGAGGAGCCGAGGGGAAUGGAGCCCGUGCCCCCCUGUGUGGUUCAGCCGCAUGAAAAAGGUAAUGAAAUGCCUUCUUUUUCAGCAAGAUGUCUCAAACUGGAGUGUAAGGAGGAACAGAGAAAUAGAAAUUGAUGUGGACUUACCGGGCCUGCUUGAAGCCAGCUUUUGUUGCAAUCAUGAGAAAUAUAUAUUGACAUAUAUGAAGAAGACUAGAAGGGAAAUCUGUGAGCAUACAUGUGCAUCUUCAUUUUGAAAUGCAACACACAAGAGAAGAGCUGCUGCACUGCCUCAGGGAAAAAAAAAAAGAGUUUAGCUGAGCAUUGCAUGGAUCCUCUUGCUUUUUCAGGAAUAAACCCUGAGUGGUUUGCA